rnacentral:rRNA from 1 species
UACGGGGGGGGCAAGCGUUGUUCGGAAUUACUGGGCGUAAAGGGCUCGUAGGCGGCCAACUAAGUCGGACGUGAAAUCCCUCGGCUUAACCUGGGAACUGCAUCCGAUACUGGAUGGCUUGAAUUCGGGAGAGGGAUGCAGAAUUCCAGGUGUAGCGGUGAAAUGCGUAGAUAUCUGGAGGAAUACCGGUGGCGAAGGCGGCAUCCUGGACCGACAUUGACGCUGAGGAGCGAAAGCUAGGGGAGCAAACGGG